GAGCGGGGACCACCCCGUAAGGCUAAAUACUACUUAGUGACCGAUAGCGCAUAGUACCGUGAGGGAAAGGUGAAAAGGACCCCGGGAGGGGAGUGAAAGAGAACCUGAAACCCUGUGCCUGCAAGCUGCGAAAGCUCUAUAUACGAGUGAUCGCGUACUUUUUGUAGAACGGUCCGGCGAGUUAUGUAUACCGGCAAGGUUAAGUGUUUAAGACACGUAAGCCGAAGGGAAACCAAGUGUGAAUAGUGCGAAUAGUCAGUAUACAUAGACCCGAAACCGGGUGAUCUAUCCAUGGACAGGAUGAAGCGGCCGUAAAAGGCUGUGGAGGUCCGAACGCACAUCCGUUGAAAAGGGUGGCGAUGAGCUGUGGAUAGGGGAGAAAUUCCAAUCGAACUCGGAGAUAGCUGGUUCUCCCCGAAAUAGCUUUAGGGCUAGCCUUGUAGCGUGCCUGUUGGAGGUAGAGCACUGAAUAUCCGCGGGGGCUUCACCGCUUACCAAAGAUUAUCAAACUGCGAAUGCCAGUCAGGUUUAGCACAGGAGUCAGACUGCACGAGAUAAGUUGGGCAGUCAAAAGGGAAACAGCCCAGAUCUACGGCUAAGGUCCCAAAGUACGUGUUAAGUGGAAAAGGAUGUGGGAUUUCAUAGACAGCUAGGAUGUUGGCUCAGAAGCAGCCACCCAUUCAAAGAGUGCGUAAUAGCUCACUAGCCGAGAGGUCCUGCGCCGAAAAUUACCGGGGCUAAAACACGACACCGAAGCCUAGGGAUUGCUUGUAUCUACGGGUAUAAGUGAUCGGUAGGGGAGCAUUCAUAAGAGCGUAGAAACUGUACCGAUAAGGAGCAGCGGAGCGUUAUGAAGAGAGAAUGCCGGAAUGAGUAGCGAGAUGAGGGUGAGAAUCCCUCAGGCCGAAUAUCCAAGGAUUCCAGGGUAAAGCUGAUCUGCCCUGGGGAAGUCGGGACCUAAGACGAGGCCGAAAGGCGUAGCCGAUGGACAGCAGGUUGAUAUUCCUGCACCAGAUAUCAUCAGAACUGUGGGGACACAGGUGAUAAGGACAGCCCGGGAGAGCAG
rnacentral:rRNA from 1 species